rnacentral:rRNA from 1 species
AAAGUUUAGAUUUUAUCCUUAAUUGUUUUGUACUAAAUUUUAUUGAGUAAAUGUGUUUUAAGAUUAAGGAUACGUGGUGAUAAAUUAACCGUUAAACUUUAUAUCUGUUUAAUUGUUGUAUUUUCAUUGUACAUACUAUGUUAUGAGAUUUAGUAUGUUGCUACACUGAUAAUUUUUAUAUUUUAUAAAUGGGUUAGAAUUACCCUAUUAUAAUGAGUUUGUUGUAAGUCUAUAUAGACUGUAUUAUUAGUUAGUUUAUUAUACAUAAUUUGUUAAAUAUUUAGUUUAUAAAUAUUAUUAAAUGAGUAAUUUUAUUAUAUUGAUUAUUUCUCGAGUUUUGCCCGUCUGUUUAUUAAAAACAUUUCUAAUUUUAUAUUAUAAUUAGUAUAACCUGCUCUAUGCUUAUGUAAAUGGCCGCAGUAUCUUGACUGUGCGAAGGUAGCAUAAUUAAUUGCCUUAUAAUUGAGGGCUUGUUUGAAUGGUUGGACGAGGUAAUAAUGAAUAUUCUUUAUUUUGGUGAAAUUAAUUU